rnacentral:misc_RNA from 1 species
GAUGAGAACGUAGCGAAAUGCGAUAAGUAAUGUGAAUUGCAGAAUUCAGUGAAUCAUCGAAUCUUUGAACGCACAUUGCGCCCGCCAGUAUUCUGGCGGGCAUGCCUGUUCGAGCGUCAUUACAACCCUCAGGCCCCCGGGCCUGGCGUUGGGGAUCGGCAGAAGCCCCCUGUGGGCACACGCCGUCCCUCAAAUACAGUGGCGGUCCCGCCGCAGCUUCCAUUGCGUAGUAGCUAACACCUCGCAACUGGAGAGCGGCGCGGCCAUGCCGUAAAACACCCAACUUCUGAAUGUUGACCUCGAAUCAGGUAGGAAUACCCGCUGAACUUAAGCAUAUCAAUAAGCGGAGGA